GACGAACGCUGGCGGCGUGCUUAACACAUGCAAGUCGAACGAAGAGCGAUGGAAGCUUGCUUCUAUCAAUCUUAGUGGCGAACGGGUGAGUAACGCGUAAUCAACCUGCCCUUCAGAGGGGGACAACAGUUGGAAACGACUGCUAAUACCGCAUACGAUCUAAUCUCGGCAUCGAGGAUAGAUGAAAGGUGGCCUCUACAUGUAAGCUAUCACUGAAGGAGGGGAUUGCGUCUGAUUAGCUAGUUGGAGGGGUAACGGCCCACCAAGGCGAUGAUCAGUAGCCGGUCUGAGAGGAUGAACGGCCACAUUGGGACUGAGACACGGCCCAGACUCCUACGGGAGGCAGCAGUGGGGAAUCUUCCGCAAUGGACGAAAGUCUGACGGAGCAACGCCGCGUGAGUGAUGACGGCCUUCGGGUUGUAAAGCUCUGUUAAUCGGGACGAAAGGCCUUCUUGCGAAUAGUGAGAAGGAUUGACGGUAC
rnacentral:rRNA from 1 species